UCUCAAGGGAANAAAGUCGACUCAUGGUC
rnacentral:piRNA from 1 species